rnacentral:lncRNA from 1 species
UUUUGGGUGGAUUUAGGUAUAUACAUGGAGAUUUAUAUAGAAGAAUGAUUAAGAGGAGGAGGAACGACACAUUCAAGAAGACUUUUAAGAUUAUCUUUGAUUGUUUAAAGGGUAAUGCAUGAACUCAGGGAUCAGAGAAGAGGAAAUGGAAGAAUGGAAAAAGAGAAUUGUAAAACUUAAACACCUUUGGGCCGAAUAUAAUUUUACGUAGCUCACACAAAAUGUCCAUUCUAUCUCAGCGCUUGUGACGUGGCAACAAAAUGUUUUUCUAUUGGUCGAUUUAAUUGAGGACGUGGACAGCCUCCCUACUCCUCAUAUAUCCCUUUUAGUAUA